ACAAAAACGAGCUGGGCAGUAGCAAGCAGAGAGCACGGCCAUCACACAGUAGCUGGCAAUUUACCCAGGAAAGAGCAGUGUUUUUGGAGUGUGCAGCAAAUCCGUGUUUCUGGGCAAGGGCGGCAUAAGAUGCGCUGCGCUGCUAAGCUUUCUCCAUGCGAGACACACUGGCAAAGCUUUUCGCUGUGAUGCAGUCCAGUGCAGACGCACACUAGGGCUCUCCGGAGCUGUCCGAAGCCAAGCGCCGGUGGCCGGCGUCUUUCGGCUGAAGCAGCGCUUCGGAGCGUACGGCUGUUGUGUGCGCGAAGCAGCCGCUUCUGCCGCUCCGGGAGCCGGACAGAGCGGUAGCUUGUACGAGGGCGAAGAACGAAGCCGCAGAGCACCGGGCUUCUGCGCGCAGCCUAAGGACUGCUAGAGGACCGUGGUGGCCGCUCGCCUGCCUCUUCAAUUCCCUUCUAGCAUACUUAUGGCAGGUGUUCCAGGACAACUUUCCUGGGUUAUGACUUCGUCCUGAUGCAGCCCCUCCUGGGAAAUUCGUUCUCUUCCCCUGAGGCUCCGAGAUGCAGAGACCUCGAUGGCAGCUGCAGAAAAGAAGGGCUGCCUUGAGUUGUCGAGAAGAACAUAGACAGCGCCUUGUGAAACAAAAUACCUGCAAAAGCAAAACCACUGACAGAGUCAGAAUAUAACCUGAUACCCUUUUUGGUCAGGGUGUUGGAAGCCAUCCAAACUGGAAUGGCU
ensembl:lncRNA